rnacentral:misc_RNA from 1 species
UGACGGUGAGUGCAUCUGUAGUAUCCUCUGCAAUAAAAAUAUUUUCUCAUGUUAGAGAAAACAUUUUAAAACUAAAAAUAUAUACGAUCGAUUAAUUGUCUUCAAGAUACUAAUUAAAUCCAGGAAUCUGCACUUUUGCGCGUGUCUAUAUGGCAAUUUUGCACUCAUGUGCAAAUGGAUCUUGAAUCUAACAAGCCUUGGAAUGG